GCCGCGUGCGGGAUGAAGGCCUUCGGGUUGUAAACCGCUUUCAGCAGGGAAGAAGCGAAAGUGACGGUACCUGCAGAAGAAGCACCGGCUAACUAUGUGCCAGCAGCCGCGGUAAUACAUAGGGUGCAAGCGUUGUCCGGAAUUAUUGGGCGUAAAGAGCUCGUAGGUGGUUCGUCACGUCGGAUGUGAAAAUCUGGGGCUUAACCCCAGACCUGCAUUCGAUACGGGCGAGCUUGAGUAUGGUAGGGGAGUCUGGAAUUCCUGGUGUAGCGGUGGAAUGCGCAGAUAUCAGGAGGAACACCAAUGGCGAAGGCAGGACUCUGGGCCAUUACUGACACUGAGGAGCGAAAGCGUGGGGAGCGAACAGGAUUAGAUACCCUGGUAGUCCACGCCGUAAACGGUGGGCACUAGUUGUGGGGACCUUCCACGGUCUCUGCGACGCAGCUAACGCAUUAAGUGCCCCGCCUGGGGAGUACGAUCGCAAGAUUAAAACUCAAAUGAA
rnacentral:rRNA from 1 species